CCUACGGGAGGCAGCAGUAGGGAAUCUUCCACAAUAGGCGAAAGCCUGAUGGAGCAACGCUGCGUGGGUGAAGAAGGUCUUCGGAACGUAAAACUCUGUUGUUAGAGAAGAAAGUGCGUGAGAGUAACUGUUCACGUUUCGACGGUAUCUAACCAGAAAGCCACGGCUAACUACGUGCCAGCAGCCGCGGUAAUACGUAGGUGGCAAGCGUUAUCCGGAUUUAUUGGGCGUAAAGGGAACGCAGGCGGUCUGUUAAGUCUGAUGUGAAAGCCUUCGGCUUAACCGGAGUAGUGCAUUGGAAACGGGGUGUCUUGAGUGCAGAAGAGGAGAGUGGAACGCCAUGUGUAGCGGUGAAAUGCGUAGAUAUAUGGAAGAACACCAGUGGCGAAAGCGGCUCUCUGGUCUGUAACUGACGCUGAGGUUCGAAAGCGUGGGUAGCAAACAGGAUUAGAUACCCUAGUAGUC
rnacentral:rRNA from 1 species